AACUAUUUGUUGCACACUUUUCAGUUUCAUUAUGGCUACGAGGAAGGCAUCCAUCACUUUGUUCUCCAUGAUUUGUUUAAUGCUUAUUACAAUAGGUAUCUAUUUCUCCCUCUUUUACUUUCUCAUCAAAUGAAAAUUCUAAUUUUAUAGUAUAUGUUUGUACGCCUAAAUAAGAAAUUGAAUUCUUAACAUAAAAGUAUUUCAUAAUACAAAUUAAUUUAAUUUUUGGAGUUUCAAGUAUAUAAUUAAUAUAGCAAGUCCAAAAUAGUUUGGGAUUUGAGACACUGCAACUUAUCAUAUUUUUUCUAAAUCGGCCUAUAAAGUUGUAUUAUUGUCUAGUAACACUUGUUUUACACAAAUUUUACUACUUUUGUAUUUUUCUACUUAAACAUAAAUUUUUUAAUACUUUAUAACAAAAAUUUAAUUAAUAUUUGUUUAUAGACAUGCAGAGUGUGGAAGCUUCAGCCUUGUUUGGUGAACCAUGCACAACAUUUAGGGAUUGCUUUAAUUCUUGCGGUCAUGGCGCAAUCCCCUUUUGCCAGAAUGGACAUUGCAGUUGCGAUAAGCAGGAGGAGGCUAUUAGCAUUUCUCCAACGGGAGCUAUUAGAAAACUUUUACAAAAUAAUUAAAGACUCUGUAAUUAUACACAGGAAUAAUUGGUUUAUUGAAAUUUUCUUUAGUUACUGAAAAUAAU
rnacentral:lncRNA from 1 species